CUCCUCUCAGGAUCUCACCUGGAGAGUUUCCAGUACUCUACCAGUCUUGGUAUGGGAGGGAGAGUUAAGCAAAGACACACUCAUUCCAUUCCUAACUUGGGCAGUGGCUAGCAAAUGGAAGGCACUCUGCUACAAGU